AAUUCUCAUUUCUCAGUUCUCAUUAUAUUUAUUGAAAUUUCAUCCAAUUUUCAUUUCUCACUACAUUUAUACAAUUAUUCUUCUACUAGUUAUUACUUAUUACAACUAAACAAAUAGAUCCACGCUCAUUUGUCGAAAACUUGUUCGGUGUGGGAGAAAACGAAUCGCCUAUGACACCGCAAAGUCAAUUUCAGAAUCAAUUUGAAGGUCUAAAUGACUUAUCCCUGCCUGAAAAUAUUCCAGAUUUGGAUCUUCAUCAUCAUGUAAACGGCAACCCAAAUUAUCUAAUUAAUUUGGAUGAUGUUGACCUUCCCAAAGAGAAACACGAUCAGGAAGAAGAGAUUGAAUUAAACAUUCCUGAUGCGAAAGGAAAGCGAAAGGGGAAAAAUAAGCAAAAUGUUAGGAUCACUUUAAGUUGAUUUCAACGAGAAAAAUCGUCAAUGGAAUCCAAAAAUCCAAAGCAGUAUAUAAAUACUGCCAACAAAGAUUAGCAUGGCAAAGAGGAAUGGUACCACCCAUCUCAACCGUCAUUACAAAGUAUGUGCGGCCAAACACGGACUUAUUUCAGGCUGUCAAACACAAAUGCAAUUUGGCAAUCCAGACGCCGGUGAUUCUACUGCACCCCUAUCCACACGGGUGUAUUCGGAGGAGAAAGCUCAAACCGGAAUGGUGAAACUUGUUGCUGGUGCUGAGUUGCCUUUGACAUUAAUUGACAACAAACACUACGUCUCGUAUGUGAAAGAAUAUCUGCAGCCAAGGUACAUUGGGGUAAGUCGAA
rnacentral:lncRNA from 1 species